GGACACAUAGCUCAGUUGGUAGAGCAGCUGACUCUUAAUCAGCGGGUCCUAGGUUCGAGCCCUAGUGCGUCCACCA
rnacentral:tRNA from 1 species